rnacentral:rRNA from 1 species
GACGAAGGGGGGCUAGCGUUGUUCGGAAUUACUGGGCGUAAAGCGCGUGUAGGCGGUUGUCCAAGUCGGGUGUGAAAGCCUUGAGCUCAACUCAAGAAAUGCACUCGAUACUGGGCGACUCGAGUGCCGGAGAGGAUAGUGGAAUUCCCAGUGUAGUGGUGAAAUACGUAGAGAUUGGGAAGAACACCAGUGGCGAAGGCGGCUAUCUGGACGGUUACGUGACGCUAAAGAC